rnacentral:tmRNA from 1 species
GGGGGCGCACUGGUCUCGACCGGUUUCGCAACGACCCGGGCUGCGCGCCGGGGGUCCGAGGUCCCUGUAAUCCUCUCGGAACGGCACUAACCUGCCAAUAACUUUUCUCUCGCCGCCUAGUCUCUAGGCAGCCGUUCUCCGCGGGAGUGUCCGCGGCCUGCGGAGAACGCCAACAGCGGGCUGGUCGGCACGCCGCGCCUCUUGGCGUCCGACGAGAAACAAGGAGGCUGGCCCGCCCGAAGCCCGUCCGUGGGCGCCGGCGCGAGCGAGAACCAAACCGCGGAACACGCGCGUAGAGGCUCAGGCCGGAGUGAUUCUGGGACGCGGGUUCGAUUCCCGCCGCCUCCACCA